GGGCCCGUAGCUCAGCCUGGAGCUUUGAAGAGACUUACUCUUUGAGCGGGCAAUUAGAGCGCUGGUCUUAUAAGCCAGAGGUCUUGGGUUCAAAUCCCAGCGGGCCCA
rnacentral:tRNA from 1 species